UUUUUGAGAAUCAUGAUGAGGCAUUAAAGAAGAGGAGGAGUGUCUCAAGGGAGGUGAGCUGGAGGUGAUGCAAGGUGGAGAGAGGAUUCCAGACAGAUAUUUGAGCAGAACAAAGAGAGCCAACAGGAUGAAGGCAUUCCCUGGCUGGUUGGACAAGCAACUGAAGAACAGGAACAGAAGUGAAUGAAAAGAGAAGAUGCUGUGUUUGUGUUUUCUCUUGGUUAGAAUGCUGUGAGUCAGGACCUUAGCUGCUGGGUGUCCUGGGACUGCCUUCGAUGAAGAACCUGAGGCUCACCUUGCUUAAGUGACUUGAGCAGCUUCAUGCAUCUUUCUGACAUUCCAGCAAUACUGGAGCAUUAACAAUUGAUAAUAGCUCUAUGUGCUACCUCUCCAAGAAACAAAUUUGCAUUUUAACCUGCACCUUCAAUGGCUGAACUUCAAAGGGUCACUGAUGAAUGCCACAGCAGAGAAAACUUCAAAUUGGAACAGCAGAGCUGUGUCUCUGGCCAUUUCCUGGAACUACAGAGGAGCAACUUGCCCCUGGUUUCCAGCGGGUGAUGUUCCUCUUCUGCCACAG
rnacentral:antisense_RNA from 1 species